AGACCGACCGUGCGCCGGGCUCGAGCGCGGUCUGAGCGCGCGGCGCCUGCGGCGGCGAACGGACGGACGGACCGCGGACGGACGUACUGACCCCAACCCGCGAGCCCCGGGAGCCGUCGGUCUGAGGAGGGGCCGCUUCGCCAUGUCGCCCCGCACCUGCUGAGCCCGGAGCGUCCGAGGAUGUCCGCGCUGAGGAAGGUUUUGCCUGGCAUUCUGCAGAAGCAUUGCUGUAUCUUACCAGACAGGAAUACAGGCAAUGCUGUGAAGCGUCAGAGGGAAUUCCGUUGGUUACUUUCCCAUACGGUCUUGUUCAGCUGCUUGUUCUCAGAAAAGUGUGUUUGUUGGUGGAGGAGAAUGCGACCAAGGAGACCAUCCUUUUCAUGAAGGCACAAACGUGAAUACAUAUGUGACUUUUAAGCCUUUAAAUAAAAACCCAAAGCACAU
rnacentral:lncRNA from 10 species